CCUUCUAUAGUAUGUUUUUGCAAAAAGAACUAUCUAAGUCAAGAAAUGAAUGAAUUAAACUAAUAAUAAUAAUGUUGCACAUAUCUGUGAUCACAUGCUGUUCAAGUUGCGACUUCCUCUCAACAGCUAAUUGCUUUCUACAUGACUGGCAGAAUACUACUUUGCCAUCCAUUGUAAAAAUUUUGCACUCUUCAUUAUAUGUGGCAAUCCAAUACCAAAGUUUUGUGCUGAGGGGGUUGAUGUUUUCGGCAUUUCUAACAACGAACAGCCUGACUCCUACUCAAAUGGCCCAAGGAAGUUGACUAUGACAUGCAUUUUUCCAACUCUUUCAAACAGAAAGUUGCCAGUUUAAAAAACAAAAUCUCCCAAUAUGUAUAUUUUAUAUGGGAGUGUGAAAUUUUUUGUCGCCUGUUUAAAAGUUAAAAAUCGCAACACUAUCUCGAAUAACA
rnacentral:lncRNA from 1 species